GUAACCUGCCUCACACAGGGGGAUAACAGUUAGAGAUGACUGCUAAUACCGCAUAAGCGCACGGCAUCGCAUGAUGCAGUGUGAAAAACUCCGGUGGUGUGAGAUGGAUCCGCGUCUGAUUAGGUAGUUGGUGGGGUAACGGCCCACCAAGCCGACGAUCAGUAGCCGACCUGAGAGGGUGACCGGCCACAUUGGGACUGAGACACGGCCCAA
rnacentral:rRNA from 1 species